AUGUAUUCCACUUGGCUCUGUCUACGGGAUUGUAUCACAUGGCCUCCGUGUUGCCUCCUUAUUGAAAGACAUUUCCAGCCUGUGCAAGGUCAAGAGAGACAGAGAAUUAAUCAUGAACCCAGUUGCCCAGAGGAGAAAAUAAUCUGUUUGUGGCACUCUGAAAAAAGCAAGAAGUUAUACGCCUCCCAAGCUUCUUUGAAUUUUCCUGUAAGAACCCCAGAGCUGACCCAACAGCAAAAAGUUCUCCACUAGAAGACAGGGUAAAAGGGAGGGACUGCGGGGGGGAGGGGAGGUUUUUAAUAUAGUUUGUCUUAUUCCUAUCACAUUAACAGUGUACGCUCUGCACAGAACACCCUCUGCCCAUUUCUAUUCAAUACCCUACUCAAUUGCCAAAGCCCAGAACAAAAAGUCCUUCCUCCUUGAAGCAUUCCAUGAUGCCCCCUUAGAGAACUUUGCACAUUUUGUCUUAACUUAGCUUUUGGUAUAAAUAUGUAUCUCGGCUUUUGAAAAUUGGAGCUCCAGGAUCAUCUGGCAUUUACCCUUUGAUACUCCAUUAAAUAUCAUUUCCUGGGAAAUGACUUUCCUCACUUUCUUUUCAUCCUUGGUGUGGCCAUCCCUUUGAAGCUACAGCAACCAAUACUUAGUUGAUACAUCACAAUGAAAUUUAAUGGAUAUCUGUGUCCAUUCGGACUACUAUAACAAAAGACCAUGAACUGGGCAUCUCAGAAACAACAGAAUUGUUGUUUACUAUUCCAGAGGCUGAGAAUUCCAAGGACAAAAGAUUCUGGCAACUUCCAUGUCUGGUGGGAGCUCUCUUCCUCAUUCAUUGACAGCUGUCUCCUCACGGUGUCCUCACAGGGUUGCAGAAGGGGAAGGCAAGCUCUCCUAGGGUCUCUUAUAAGGGCACUAAUCCCAUUUGUGAGGGCUCCACCCUCAUGACCUAAUCACCCCCAAAGGCCCCAUCUCCAAAAUAGCAGCAUGCUUCAAAUUAGGUAUGAACACAUGAAUUUGCAGGGACGCGAACAUUUGGUCUCUAGCAGUGGAC
rnacentral:lncRNA from 12 species